CAGGCCAUCCAGGUGACAAGCAUUAUCAGCUACACGUUGCUGAGAGAUGAAAUUGGAUCUUAUAAGCUGCCUUGAAAAUUAUGACACGUUGAGUUCCUCGCUUUAGUGGAAGCUCGGCUCACACACUACUGAGUUGAAUGGAUCUUUAUCUUGUCUGUUGGUCAUGAAAAAAGCCAUUGCAGAUCACAUUCUUCAACGGACUUAACCAGCUGAGUAAUCACCAGCCAGUGCCUUCGGCCCUAGACGGUGUAGCUUAAGAGGACCAUUUCUCCUGGCAUUGCGAUGUUGAUCAGCCUUGCUUCCUCCCAUCAGAUACACUUGGCCUUUUCUGCUUGCAACAGUUCCUCCAAGGGCUCUCCAAGACUGCAGUCCCUAGGAUCCCUUUGAAGGCUGUGAUGGGUUUGGCUUUCUGCACCAACCUGUCAGACAAAUGAGGACAAGUAACCCAAGACCACACACAUCAGGCAUGGAAUGAUGUUUAUAUUGAGAAACUUCUGAUAUAGGAGGACUAGUGGAUUUGUAGUUCCUCCUGUAAAGGCAAUGGAG